rnacentral:tRNA from 1 species
GGAGAGAUGUCUGAGUGGUUUAAAGAGCACGCUUGGAAAGCGUGUGUGCAGGUAACUGUACCGCGGGUUCGAAUCCCGCUCUCUCCGCCA